rnacentral:rRNA from 1 species
AUUGAACGCUGGCGGCAGGCCUAACACAUGCAAGUCGAGCGCGCGGCGGACGGGGGUGUAUUGUAUGGGGACUGCCCGAUAGAGGGGGAUAACUACUGGAAACGGUAGCUCAUACCGCAUACUAUCGGAUAAUCCAUAUGGGAUUAGCUAGUAGGUGAGGUAAUGGCUCACCUAGGCGACGCUCCCUAGCUGGUCUGAGAGGAUGAUCAGCCACACUGGAACUGAGACACGGCCCAGACUCCUACGGAGGCAGCAGUGGGGAAUAUUGCACAAUGGGCGCAAGCCUGAUGCAGCCAUGCCGCGUGUAUGAAGAAGGCCUUAGGGUUGUAAAGUACUUUCAGUCGGGAGGCGUUACCGACAGAAGAAGCACCGGCUAACUCCGUGCCAGCAGCCGCGGUAAUAC